GAGGGUAUAGCUCAAGUGGUAGAGCACAUGCUUAGCAUACAUAAGAUCCUGGAUUCAAUCCCCAGUACCUCCU
rnacentral:tRNA from 1 species